GCCCGCCUGUCUGCCCGCCCGGCCGCCCGGCCGGCCGUGGGAGCUGCCAGCAGCUCGCCCUCCCGCUGCCCACAGGCCCUGGCAGGCUGGGCGCGAGAAAGCGUGUUUACUAACACCAUCCACACGGCUCCCUGGGCACCGCGGCUCUGCCCAGAAGAUGUCAGGCCGGGGGCACCGGGAGGUGGGCCCGGAGCCAGGCCGUCUCCAGCCCGGGGAAAACUGUCCCCGGCCGGCUGCUGCCCGGGGCUGCCAGCCUCACUCCGCCGCGCUGGGGGCUAAAGGCCCCAGGGAGGCCCUCCCUCAAGCUGUCCUUGCCCUUGCUCGGAUGCCUUCCCGCGGCCACCUCGACGUGCCCGGCCACGGUGCCCACCCUCCCCUGCGUCUCUCAGGAAGGCUGCGCUGACAGGCGGGCUCCGCGAGGCCUCGUCGCCGCCCAGACUGGUGGAGCCCCGGGCAUGGGAAGCAGUCGUGGCGGGUUUGGUGCCUCAAUUCUGAUCUGGGCUGUGGACCUCGAGGUUGCCUGUGUCCCGAGGAGAGGGAUUGUCAGGCCUCAGUGAAUGUAUCGAGAAAAUAACUGGGAGAUUCCCAGGUUCCUGCAUGGUUCCCUGCAGUCCCCCUUGAGAGACUCUCUGUGGCAGGAGUGAUCGACCUGAGUUUGGAGAUAGGAAGGUGAGACCCUGUCUCUGAGUCCUGCCCAGGGCGAGCCAGCUGCGGACCAGAAAACUCAGCUCUAUUCAACUGAAAAACUCACCUCUCUUUCUGGAACCAUCCUCUCUCCCAAGAUUUCGGGGUGUCUCUUCUAAAGUAUGAUCCACAGAACCAGUUGCCACUGGAGAAAUGAACAAUGGUGUCCUUAAUGACUCCACCUCACAGCCACCCGGUUAGUCUGGCCGCUCCGUCCCUUUCUGGCCACCGAGAGUGGCUUCCUGCCUCCAGGCCUCCACAUUGGCCUGCUCCUGGCUCAUUUCUCAGCUAAUUUCCAGGAGGAGAAUCCUAAAGUGCACACUGCUGAAAAAUAAAAUAAAAUAAUGGAAAGAAAGAUGAAAACAUUAAAAAUAAUAGCAACUCAGCAUGUUUGAUACGACCCCCACUUAUGGGAAAUCAUAUAUGUGAGCGCAUCUAUGUCUAAAAACAUUGAGAUGCACUGAGAGAGACAGAGACAGAGACAGAGAGACAGAGAUUUAGGCCUACGUCCAGUGUCAUGGAUACCAUUGAUGUUUGGGUCGGCACUAAGUUCACCUAAGUAACAAGCAAAGCAUGAUUCUUUUCCAACUGCAGGUCAACCAAUUCCU